GAUAACAUAAUCAAAUCAGAAUAACAUCAAUCGUGAUAUUCAUUCAUAAAAAUAGAAAUAGAGAAUUGGGUCAAAUAAGAAUUUUACUUUAUUUUAGCAUCAGAAUUCUUUAAUGGAAAAUAUUACUGAUAUUCUGACAAUAAUAAUCGAAUUUAAAUUGAUGAAGCAUAUAUAUUCAUAAAAUUAUACCAUUGCUAGGUUUAAGUUAUACCUCAAGAUGUUUAUCUAGUCCUCGAUAAUGUUAGGAUGGUCCUUGUUUGGAAAAAUAUCUUUGUAGACCUGUAUCCAUAUUAAAAGAAGAACAUAGUUACAAUAAUUCAUUUAGUAAUUUAGUUGAUGCUUCAAUUGAACAUUGGCACUUGGAUAUAGUAUACAAGCGAUUUUAGGUUGUUUCAUUCAUUUAAAAAUUUGAUUUUAGAACGAAUGAAUAAGUAUUAAUGUGAUUAAAUUUAGUGUUAUUUUAGUUAUAGAUUUAGUAUUCACUGUUAUUAAAUUCCCACCAAAAAAAUAAAUUCUUUGAUGGCUAACCUCCUGCACAUAAUAAAUACAUACCUAAUGGAAUACCCAACUAACUGUGGAAGUUAGAACAGAAAAGAUCAGAUAAAGGAGAAUCUAUUAAACCUCUUAGAUCAAGAGGAGCAGGACUUGAAACAGAAAAGUAGAGUGAACUGGCGGCCUUGGGGGAUUUAAACACUGUUUUUUUUAGCCAAAUGGUUCAUACACUGCCGUGAAUAUAAUAAUUUUUCAGAACUGGGAAGAAACCGUGAAUGCAAUUAAAGAUGAAGAAGCGAUAAAAAAGAAACUGUGUGAUGACCUAAGUAGCCUGGUAUAUAUCUUUCUUCCAUACCAGGUUGAACUUCUUGUGCCUUUCAAUAUAAUUUCUUAUUAUUUCAUAGGUUCAAGAAAGCAAUACCAGUCAGUUUGCAAGGCUAGAAGAAUUAAAAAAGAAGCUUGAACUUUUAAACCCUUCCCGAUCUUCUUUUAAUAUUCCAGUAGUAGUAAGUCAUCGAUCAAAUUACAUUACAUUUCCACAUAGUAUCAAGUAUAAUUUUUUCUUCUUUGUUACAUUCUCAGGAUGGAAAAUUAGCCACACCUCAAGUCCCUGAUAGCAUUCCAGUUUCAAAUUCUGCCACAACACAAUUAUCACAAGUUGGAAAUUCAACUGAACAGCCGAAUGAAAAAGCUUCUAAUCCACUUUCCAGCAAUGGUGGUGCUCAAACCAAAACCAAGACGACAACACCAAUUGAUGGUGGUGAGGGAAAGAUGAAGAAGAAAGUUUUGAAUUUGGGAAGAGGUAAGGGAAGAGGAUCUUCUACCACUGGAUGGACUGGAGCUGGGUUUGAUGUUGAUGGUCGGGUCUGAUUGCCUCCAUCCAAAUUCCAAUCCUCUUCCCAAGUAAGAAUUACACAUUGCUUUAUAUAUAGUUUAGGAAGGUCUGAUUGCUACUUGUGUGACAAAAGAGAUAGGAAAGCAAUAUCUCUUUAGAAAAACAGCAAAGACAAGCUUGCCGGAAUGCUUGCCGGAAGUGAUUUUAGACAAGCAGAAACAGCAAAGACAGAAAAUUGAUUUUAGAAAAAUAUUAAACUCACUCAGUUGGAAUGCUUGCCGGAAGUGAACAAGAAGUUGUUUGUCGGAAGAAAGGAGUGAUCGUCGGCGAAAUGGAGGGAUCUUCGGCGGACUGGAGUGAUCGUCGCGACUGGAGGGAUCGUCAAGAACGAUUUGGGGAAAUCGAUUUGGGUUUUGGGUGUUUGAGUUGGGGAAAGUAGAUUUGGGGAAAUCGAUUUGGGGAAAUCGAUUUGGGGUUUUGAGGGUUUGAUUUGGGGGAAAUAACUAUAAAAUCACUUAAUUUAACUAAAUUUAUAAAUAAUACCUUAUUCUUUUAAAAUUUUAUAAAU
rnacentral:lncRNA from 1 species